rnacentral:rRNA from 1 species
GUAGGUGACAAGCGUUGUCCGGAUUUACUGGGCGUAAAGAGCGCGCAGGCGGUCGUUCAAGUCGAGUGUGAAAGCCCCCGGCACAACUGGGGAGGGUCAUUCGAUACUGAUCGACUCGAAGGCAGGAGAGGGUAGUGGAAUUCCCGGUGUAGUGGUGAAAUGCGUAGAUAUCGGGAGGAACACCAGUGGCGAAGGCGACUACCUGGCCUGUUCUUGACGCUGAGGCGCGAAAGCUAGGGGAGCAAACGGGAUUAGAUACCCCGGUAGUCCUAGCCGUAAACGAUGGACACUAGGUGUUGGUGGUAUCAACCCCGCCAGUGCCGAAGCUAACGCAUUAAGUGUCCCGCCUGGGGAGUACGGCCGCAAGGCUA